AAUUCCUUGUCGGGUAAGUUCCGACCUGCACGAAUGGCGUAACGAUGGCGGCGCUGUCUCCACCCGAGACUCAGUGAAAUUGAAAUCGCUGUGAAGAUGCAGUGUAUCCGCGGCUAGACGGAAAGACCCCGUGAACCUUUACUGCAGCUUGGCUGUGGCACCGGAAAUAAUAUGUGUAGGAUAGGUGGGAGGCUUUGAAGCGUGGACGCCAGUUCGCGUGGAGCCAUCCUUGAAAUACCACCCUGGCAACUUUGAGGUUCUAACUCAGGUCCGUUAUCCGGAUCGAGGACAGUGUAUGGUGGGUAGUUUGACUGGGGCGGUCUCCUCCUAAAGUGUAACGGAG
rnacentral:rRNA from 14 species